GUUGGAAAUUAAUAGUUCGGUCCACAAGACUAAAGAAACCCUAUGUCUUAACCCUAAUAUAUAAUGUAAUGACACAAACCCUAAUAUUCACUAUCACGGCAGCCACACUUUCUCAAAGAAAUAUUCAAAAUAUUUCAAACUCUAUUCUCUCUUUCCUUCUAACGGCAGCAAAGAAAAUUUUUGGGUUAGGGUUACAAAAAUUUUCCUUUCUCUUCUUCUUCUUCUCUCAAGAACAAAGUAGUAGUGUUCUAGGAUUUCUAAAGCUUUCUUCCUCUUCUUAUUUUUCUUCUACAGCCGCACCCAUUUCUUCAAGAUCUUUUCUUCUCACUUGUAAUGGCAGCUAAGGAAAUAGGUUCUAGAUUAUGGUUCUAAGUUUCUCUUUGCUCUUCUCUACUUACCCGAAACUACACCCAGAAAAAUACAAAGCUAUUAGCUUUUAUUUUCGGCAACAGUUAGGUUUUUCUAGGGUUCCAAAAUAAUUCUUUCUUCAGCCCCUUUUCUACCCGAAAUAAUCAAACCAAGAAAAACACUAACUCAACUCCAACCACUCAAAACCGAACCCCAAAAAAUCCCUUUGACUUUCGGCCAAGAACACAUCUAACCCGAAAAUAGCAAGAACACUCAACAUACACACAAAUACAAAUAUGAACAAUAUAGAGAUUAGGGUUAGAAAUACAAACAGAAAUGGUAAAGAUGGAGACACCAAAUUUGAUCUCGGAGUUCGCCCAAAACAACCGGCUACUUCUCCGUCAAGCCCUCAGCUUGAUUCCACUAAUCAUCAAACAAAGGAGGAGCUCACAUGGAGAUGACAACUCACAGCCAAAAGGCUCUCUUUUUACUUUGUUGUUAUUUCUGAUGUUGUUCUCUGUUGUUGUAUCUCUCUGGCUGUGACUCUUUAUUUUUGCUCUGUAUAUUAUUCCUUGUUGUAUCUGAGAAAAGCACCUCCUUUUAUAUACUGUUCUGUGAUCUGAUCUAGGGCAGAGCCCUAGUGAUAUUUGUAACUGUUUUUAUAACUGCUUCAGUUGUAACUGUCUUUAUGUUCUUUAGUCUUGAUAUUUGUUGUAUCUGAUGUAAGGGUAUAUUUGUCAAACCCUAUGAGUGGUGUUAUUCAACUUAAGGGUAAA